GGAAGGAUCAUUACCAAUCUAAAAACCCUUUGCCCUGUCAAGGCUCCGGCCGCGCUGGGUGAAGUUUUUGACCUUUUGUGAACCAAAAAUCUUUCAGCUUCGGUAGCUGGCUGGUUUGGACUCGUGCCUGACCACGCCGUCAGCCUACCGGCAGCGCCAACCUAAACUGUUUUACAAAUUAUGUCUGAUACCAAAUUUUCGAAUGAAAAUUAAAACUUUCAACAACGGAUCUCUUGGUUCUCGCAUCGAUGAAGAACGCAGCGAAACGCGAUAGUUAAUGUGAAUUGCAGAAUUCAGUGAAUCAUCGAGUCUUUGAACGCACAUUGCGCCUUUUGGUAUUCCGAUAGGCAUGUCUGUUUGAGCGUCAUUACAACCCUCGGUUCGGUUUUAUUUUAGACCGUGCACCGGUAUUGAGUCUUUGGACCUGGUUCUCUGAGCCGGCCCAGGCUUUAAAGUUGACGCUUUCCGGGCUACGGAUCUGAGCAAACAUAGUACAGAAUUAACUUUCCUGCCCUGUUAGCUUUACAGAUCCGGUACGCACCGCCUGCAACCAAAAAUCUCCAUCCACGGAAAUUUUUCAGGUUUGACCUCAGAUCAGACAAGGAUACCCGCUGAACUUAAGCAUAUCAAUAAGCGGAGGAAAAGAAACCAACAGGGAUUGCCUCAGUAACGGCGAGUGAAGCGGCAACAGCUCAAAUUUGAAAUCUGAAGUCUUUGUCUUCCGAGUUGUAAUUUGAAGAGGAUGCUUCGGUUGUGGCCUGGGCCUAAGUUCCUUGGAACAGGACGUCGUAGAGGGUGAGAAUCCCGUACACGGCUACCGGCUUACUUCCAUGUGUAGCUCCUUCGAAGAGUCGAGUUGUUUGGGAAUGCAGCUCAAAAUGGGUGGUAAAUUUCAUCUAAAGCUAAAUAUUGGCGAGAGACCGAUAGCGCACAAGUAGAGUGAUCGAAAGAUGAAAAGCACUUUGAAAAGAGAGUUAAACAGUACGUGAAAUUGUUGAAAGGGAAGCGCUUGCAAUCAGACUUGCUUUCGGUUGAUCAACGUUCCUUCUGGUUCGUGCACUCUGCCGUUCGCAGGCCAGCAUCGGUUAGGACGGCGGGACAAAGGCUCCGAGAAUGUGGCUCUCUUCGGGGAGUGUUAUAGCUCGGUGCGUAAUGCCGCCUGCCCUGACCGAGGACCGCGCUUUUGCUAGGAUGCUGGCUUAAUGGUUGUAAGCGACCCGUCUUGAAACACGGACCAAGGAGUCUAACAUCUAUGCGAGUGUUCGGGUGUCAAACCCGUACGCGUAAUGAAAGUGAACGGAGGUGGGAGUCUUAGGAUGCACCAUCGACCGAUCCUGAUGUUCUCGGAUGGAUUUGAGUAGGAGCAUAGCUGUUGGGACCCGAAAGAUGGUGAACUAUGCCUGAAUAGGGUGAAGCCAGAGGAAACUCUGGUGGAGGCUCGCAGCGGUUCUGACGUGCAAAUCGAUCGUCAAAUUUGGGUAUAGGGGCGAAAGACUAAUCGAACCAUCUAGUAGCUGGUUCCUG
rnacentral:rRNA from 1 species